CAGAGGUUCCACACAAAUCAACAGCUCAGUGAACAGAUGCAGCAUUACCCAGAGUACACGGUGGCAUUUUGAACCGCUGCCCAUUUCCUUUUCAAAUAAUGACCACAACAACAGAAAGUUCCAGGGCACAGGAGGCCAUUACGAAGCAGACGGGAGAUUAUAUUUCAUGAAAAAAAUUGACUAGCACUUUAUUUAAUGCCCUCACUUAACCGCCAGGCUCUAUUUGUUUCUGUCAACCUCUUCAGGAUCAGACCUCAGUGCACAGGCGGGCUUUCCACGGGGGAUAAUAACAGUGGCACUGAAACCUGUUAUUAGCUGACUUGGUCAAGAGUGCUCAGCUGGAGCAAAAAUGAUGACCACCUGGCUCCCACUGACACUUCCAUCAGAGGAAAGGCUCCGUUCAAGGGCGGAGCGCAUGAAGCUCAAGGCGAACGGCAAAGACUCAGCCCUUACUCAGCGGCGCCUCAUCAUGCCUCCUCACUGGGAAAAAAGCGGCUGAAAGGAUACCUGCAGGAUUACAGCGCCACGGAUCAAAAUUAACCAGUUUGUGGGGCAAGAAAUCAUUUGUGAGCGACAUGAUUUCAUAAAAUUACGAAGCUAAAUUGAUACUCCUAAGAAGGAUUUCACUUGCCCCUUCCCAUUAGCAGCUUAGAGGUCAGGGUCAGGUACAAAAGGAGCACCAUGACUCGGUGUUUUGCUUAAGUACGCUUUAGCAGGGCAAGUACUUGAACCCCAAUCUUCAGUCUACACCUCCUGCUGACCCUUUGGUUUCUACAUCGAUUAUUUUUGUGUUGUUUGGACAGCAAUUCCAAGCCAAUUCUUUGCAGACGCUAACUUCUUAACAUCAGCCUCUGAUGAUCGCUCUCUUCUUGGGUUUUUGGCUCGUCCCUGUGCCAAUGGGCAUUUGGGUCUCACAAACAGCUCCUAAAAGUCGGUAUAAUUGCCCAGAAAUGAGCGCUGAAAGUCUGCCAGGGAGAAACAAAGAAUAAGAAAUAAGAAAAUGCUGAUUUAGUUUUCCUGCCUUGUUCAACAGCUUAAUUAAUAGAGAAAACAGUUGCAUAGUUUCAGUACUUACUAUUAUAAUGGAAAACAAAAAGGCAGUUAUUGAAAUACUUAUUUAUUUUUCAGACAGAAAUGACAAAUAAUUGCUCAUUUUAUAGUUUUCUUGUAAACUAAAUAUCUUCAGGGUUUCAGAAGUUGGCCCAACCACACAACCAUCUAAAGAAACUCAACAAAAUGCAACAAAAAUUAAGCAUUUCUAAUGUUUAAUACGCCAAACGAUUAAUCAAUUCGUUGGAUCAUUCAACAAUAAAAAUAAGUUACAGCCCUAA